rnacentral:rRNA from 1 species
CCUACGGGAGGCAGCAGUGAGGAAUAUUGAUCAAUGGCCGGAAGGCUGAACCAGCCAAGCCGCGUGAAGGACGAAGGUGCCAAGCAUUGUAAACUUCUUUUGUCAAGGGAUAAAAUCAGGCUCGAGAGCCUGACCGAGGGUACUUUAAGAAAAAGCAUCGGCUAACUCCGUGCCAGCAGCCGCGGUAAUACGGAGGAUGCGAGCGUUAUCCGGUUUUAUUGGGUUUAAAGGGUGGGUAGGCGGGCUGUUAAGUCAGCGGUAAAAGCCCGGGGCUCAACCCCGGCGAGCCGUUGAAACUGGCUGUCUUGAGAUGACGAGAGGUAUGCGGAAUGCGCAGUGUAGCGGUGAAAUGCUUAGAUAUUAGGAGGAACACCAGUGGCGAAGGCGGCCUGCUGGACUGUAACUGACGUUGAGGCUCGAAAGCGUGGGGAGCAAACAGGAUUAGAUACCCGUGUAGUC